rnacentral:rRNA from 1 species
AUACGUAGGGGGCGAGCGUUGUCCGGAAUUACUGGGCGUAAAGGGUGCGUAGGCGGGUAUGCAAGUCCGGUGUGAAAUGCUUCGGCUCAACCGAGGAGUUGCAUUGGAAACUGCGUAUCUAGAGUACAGGAGAGGGAAGCGGAAUUCCUAGUGUAGCGGUGAAAUGCGUAGAUAUUAGGAGGAACACCAGUGGCGAAGGCGGCUUCCUGGACUGAUACUGACGCUGAGGCACGAAAGCUGGGGUAGCGAACAGGAUUAGAUACCCUGGUAGUCCCAGCCAUAAACGAUGGGUACUAGGUGUUGUCACUUCAUUGUGGCAGUGCCGCAGUUAACGCAUUAAGUACCCCGCCUGGGGAGUACGGCCGCAAGGCUGAA